rnacentral:lncRNA from 1 species
AACACAAAGUGAGGAUUUGUAGCUGAUUUGGCAAAUAGAAUUAUGAAAAGUUCUGUCAGAGCUCUGGGACUUCUUUCUCUUAGCAAUUAGAGCUUUUGAACAAAGAAAACUUCUGCUUAGAUGCAAUGAUGAAUUUAAUACCCCUGCCCACACUCCUCAGCUGAAUCUGGGGACAUUGUGGUGAGUUUUAAUACCUGAAGCUUUGUCUGUGUGAUU